rnacentral:rRNA from 15 species
GCUUACGGCCAUACCACCCUGAACGCGCCCGAUCUCGUCCGAUCUCGGAAGCAUAGCAGGGUCGGGCCUGGUUAGUACUUUGAUGGGAGACCGCCUGGGAAUACCAGGUGCUGUAAGCC